UGGGGAAUUUUGGACAAUGGGGGAAACCCUGAUCCAGCCAUCCCGCGUGUGCGAUGAAGGCCUUCGGGUUGUAAAGCACUUUUGGCAGGAAAGAAACGUCAUGGGUUAAUACCCCGUGAAACUGACGGUACCUGCAGAAUAAGCACCGGCUAACUACGUGCCAGCAGCCGCGGUAAUACGUAGGGUGCAAGCGUUAGUCGGAAUUACUGGGCGUAAAGCGUGCGCAGGCGGUUCGGAAAGAAAGAUGUGAAAUCCCAGAGCUCAACUUUGGAACUGCAUUUUUAACUACCGGGCUAGAGUGUGUCAGAGGGAGGUGGAAUUCCGCGUGUAGCAGUGAAAUGCGUAGAUAUGCGGAGGAACAACGAUGGCGAAGGCAGCCUCCUGGGAUAACAAUGACGCUCAUGCACGAAAGCGUGGGGAGCAAACAGG
rnacentral:rRNA from 1 species